ACACGACUACAUUAGAUACCCGCGUAGUCCCAGCCCUAAACGAUGCGCGUUAGGUGUAUCGGUGACCACGAGUCACCGAGGUGCCGAAGGGAAACCGUGAAACGUGCCGCCUGGGAAGUACGGUCGCAAGGCUGAAACUUGAAGGAAUUGGCGGGGAGCACCACAAGAGGUGGAGGCUGCGGUUCAAUUGGACUCAACGCCGGAAAACUCAUCGGGAGCGACAGCAGUAUGAUUGCCAGGUUGAUGACCUUGCUUGACAAGCUG
rnacentral:rRNA from 1 species